rnacentral:rRNA from 1 species
ACACCCCAUCCCAUUCCGAACUGGACCGUGAAACCUCUUAGCGUCGAUGGUACUGCGUCUUAAGGCGUGGGAGAGUAGAUCGCUGCCAGAU